rnacentral:rRNA from 1 species
AGCAGCCGCCACGGUAAUACAGAGGGUGCGAGCGUUAAUCGGAUUUACUGGGCGUAAAGCGUGCGUAGGCGGCUUCUUAAGUCGGAUGUGAAAUCCCUGAGCUUAACUUAGGAAUUGCAUUCGAUACUGGGAAGCUAGAGUAUGGGAGAGGAUGGUAGAAUUCCAGGUGUAGCGGUGAAAUGCGUAGAGAUCUGGAGGAAUACCGAUGGCGAAGGCAGCCAUCUGGCCUAAUACUGACGCUGAGGUACGAAAGCUUGGGGAGCAAACAGGAUUAGAUACCCCCGUAGUCCCUGUCUCUUAUAA